rnacentral:rRNA from 1 species
UACGUAGGAGGCGAGCGUUGUCCGGAGUUACUGGGCGUAAAGGGUGCGUAGGCGGCGCGGUAAGUCGGGUGUGAAAUCUCGGAGCUUAACUCCGAAACUGCAUUCGAUACUGCCGUGCUUGAGGACUGGAGAGGAGACUGGAAUUUACGGUGUAGCGGUGAAAUGCGUAGAUAUCGUAAGGAAGACCAGUGGCGAAGGCGGGUCUCUGGACAGUUCCUGACGCUGAGGCACGAAGGUCAGGGGAGCAAACGGGG